rnacentral:rRNA from 1 species
CACUCCUGCGGGAGGCAGCAGUGGGGAAUUUUGGACAAUGGGCGAAAGCCUGAUCCAGCCAUGCCGCGUGCAGGAUGAAGGCCUUCGGGUUGUAAACUGCUUUUGUACGGAACGAAACGGCCUUUUCUAAUAAAGAGGGCUAAUGACGGUACCGUAAGAAUAAGCACCGGCUAACUACGUGCCAGCAGCCGCGGUAAUACGUAGGGUGCAAGCGUUAAUCGGAAUUACUGGGCGUAAAGCGUGCGCAGGCGGUUAUGUAAGACAGUUGUGAAAUCCCCGGGCUCAACCUGGGAACUGCAUCUGUGACUGCAUAGCUAGAGUACGGUAGAGGGGGAUGGAAUUCCGCGUGUAGCAGUGAAAUGCGUAGAUAUGCGGAGGAACACCGAUGGCGAAGGCAAUCCCCUGGACCUGUACUGACGCUCAUGCACGAAAGCGUGGGGAGCAAACAGGAUUAGAUACCCGUGUAGUCCC